AUUGAACGCUGGCGGCAGGCCUAACACAUGCAAGUCGAACGAGUGGCGGACGGGUGAGGAAUGUCUGGGAAACUGACUGAUGGAGGGGGAUAACUACUGGAAACGGUAGCUAAUACCGCAUACCAUCGGAUGAGCCCAGAUGGGAUUAGCGAGUAGGUGGGGUAAAGGCUCACCAAGGCGAAGAUCCCUAGCUGGUCUGAGAGGAUGACCAGCCACACUGGAACUGCGACACGGUCCGGACUCCUACGGGAGGCAGCAGUGGGGAAUAUUGCACAAUGGGCGCAAGCCUGAUGCAGCCAUGCCGCGUGUAUGAAGAAGGCCUUCGGGUUGUAAAGUACUUUCAGCGGGGAGGCGUUACCCGCAGAAGAAGCACCGGCUAACUCCGUGCCAGCAGCCGCGGUAAUUC
rnacentral:rRNA from 1 species